CCUACGGGGGGCUGCAGUGGGGAAUAUUGCACAAUGGGCGCAAGCCUGAUGCAGCAACGCCGCGUGCGGGAUGACGGCCUUCGGGUUGUAAACCGCUUUCAGCAGGGACGAAGCGCAAGUGACGGUACCUGCAGAAGAAGCACCGGCUAACUACGUGCCAGCAGCCGCGGUGAUACGUAGGGUGCGAGCGUUGUCCGGAUUUAUUGGGCGUAAAGAGCUUGUAGGCGGUUAGUCGCGUCGUAAGUGCAAACUCAGGGCUUAACCCUGAGCCUGCUUUCGAUACGGGCUGACUAGAGGAAGGUAGGGGAGAAUGGAAUUCCCGGUGGAGCGGUGGAAUGCGCAGAUAUCGGGAGGAACACCAGUGGCGAAGGCGGUUCUCUGGACCUUUCCUGACGCUGAGAAGCGAAAGCGUGGGGAGCAAACAGGCUUAGAUACCCCAGUAGUC
rnacentral:rRNA from 1 species